GUUUUGAUCAGCUGUACGGUAACUUAGCGAUAAGAAAAUAGACUAUUGGUUAAAUAAAUUUAAAUUUAAGUGUGUUUUAGAAGAAGAGGAACUUUCAGUAUAUUCCUUAAGAUGAGCUGAGCAGCAGUCCAGUUUACAAGAUGACAAGAGUUCGAGAGACAAGAUACAAGAUCACUGAAACAAGAGCCAAGACUGAAGAUUCAAGAGAAGAGAAAGCUGGCAGCCAUGGACUUACAAGUGGAGAUUAAUAAGGUCAUGUAAAGUUUUAUUUUUUUUUAUGGAAGACAGUAACUGGAGUUUUUUUUUGUUAUAAACAUUAUUUACAGAACUUUUUAGGUUAUAGUAAUGUAAUGGAACUAGUGAGUUGUGGUAGCUGUCAAAAAGAACUAAUACCUUAAGUUUAAUUUUUAAAGUUAAUUUUCUUAAUUUACAGAGGGAUUAGUAGUUUUUUUUUAAACCUUAUUUAGGUUGGAAUUUAAAUACAAUAGCUUAUUAUAAAUGUGUACGAACAGUUCAAGUUCACAGUACUGAUAGGUAGGUCAGAUGAUCUUAUUGAUUUUGAUGAUUUGUUGUUUUGAGUUGAUUUUUAAGUGUUGUGAAUUAGACAAUGAAAUAGUUCUGAAAACUUAAAUUAUUUCAAGCUAAGAAAUAGUAAAGUUAAUUGUAACUCAAAGGACACCAGAAUUUAAUUUUUUUUUGAAUUAGUAAUGUUUGAAAAUUUUAUACUUUACAAGAAAGGUUAUAAACAAACAGAUCGGAUGGAACAAGGAUGCAGUAAAUCACAAUUUCAUUUAGAAUUAUUGAUUAGCUUUUGAGGUUAUGAAGUAAAAGUAAUUAUAGUUUAAAAGUUUGAAUAAAAAAAAAAUGUUUUUUUUUUUAUUUGUUUGAAAUAGAAAGUUUAAAAGUUAAUUAGUCAUGAUCUAGGUGGGUGAUGGGGUGGGAAUUGGCCACUCUUUUUCCCUAUAACCUCCCUAACAUGGCCUUCUAUUACAACUAACAGAAAUAAAGAAGAAGAAAAAUGAAGAAUUAUUAGUUAGAAUGUUUCUUUCAUGAAGAUACCUGAUGAACUUUUACUGUUUGGAAGAAUAGUAGCAAGGUUAGUCAGAUAUUUUUACUCAGAA